UUUUUUGUUUUUUUUGCUAUUUUUAUUUAGUGAAUGCUUGCUCGGUGAGCUUAGAGAGUGUUUGUUGAAUUUUGGAUGUGGUAAUAGAUAUUGCUGUCAUGAGAGGAAAUGCACUACUGCUGGCUUAAGAGGCAUCUUUUGAGACUUUUACAUUAAUUCUUCAUAGAAGAAUGAGCUGGGUUGUUUAUCGUGACAUUAUCCACACGUGCUUUUCUCACCAACAAGCCGUCUACUCCAAUUCAAAACCUGCUUAUUGUUUCAGGCAUCGCUUCAAUCACCGCACAUAUUGUUCGGACCUUUAUAGCAUAUAGCUGUCAUAUGAAUGGAUCGGUCGUAUUCAAGAAAAUUUUAAAUAACCAUCUUUUGUUUUUGUAUAUACACUUGUGUUCACAUAAUUAAAUCACUGCAUUGCAAAAUCACGUUCCGAGAGAGACAAGACCUAACGACUAUAGACAAAUAGUACGGAUGAGCCAGGUGGAUAAAUUUUUGACGUCAAGGGAAAUUAGAGCACAAAUGGAACAUAAGCAUGGUGUACGAGUAUCAGCACAAA